AGAAGCCAGAGAUGACGCCCUACACACUAUUCAUCGUCUCAUUCAUUGAUCCUUAACCCUCAACUCGCCAUAACUCACCCGAGUUCACUCAAAACGGUCCCCCUCUCCACGUCACCUCUAUUUCCCAACGGAUUUGUCAUAGGGGAGUACGAAUAUUCCCUCAAAAUCGCGGAUUUUUGUACAAAAAGGAUAAUUGUUGGAUGAAUGGGAGCUGUGGAUAGAUGUGAAUCAAUCCACGCCCUCCAUUUGUCCCAAAAUUGUUCAAAAACAUGAAGGAUUUUCAGAUUUUUGGGCAGAUUAUUUGGAGAGUUUGAAGACUAUAUAUACGAGAAACAUAAAAAAAAGAGACAUCAUGGUUUGAGUUCAUUUUUUUACUCUAUUUUUUAGAGAAAAAAUCAAAAAGGAGUUACUGAAAACAAAUUUUCUUUAGCGUUUGUUCUUUGGGUUGGAGUUUUGUUUCUCAAGGGAGCUUGAUUUAACGGUUCAAGUUGAAGUCGAGUUUUCUUUUGGAGUUCAAAAUUUCAGUCUUGGUUCGGGUUCAAGCUGGUUGAUUCCUGUGUUCUUGUUGCGCUGCUGUUAUUGCUGAUUUUUUCUGCUUGCGCCGAGCUUUGCUGAGUUUUCUAGCUUCUUUUUAUUUCUUGCUUGUAGAGGUACGAAUUCCUACUAUUGAGAACUUUCAAAUGUUUGUAGUCGUUGAAAUUUGUGAGAUAUAAUUAUUGAGCCUCAUGUGUGUUUUCUCUCAUUGUUUUAUUGUUAAUGUCCAAGUUGUAAGUAAAAUGAGUUUAAUGACCAAUUCUGUUAGUUCUUCAGCAGAUUUUUGUUUGGACACAUUUGUAUCAGUUGUGCUAUGUGCUCUGAAAUGGUCUAUAAGGGCGUAUUCCUAGAUCU